GACGGAGGAUGCAAGUGUUAUCCGGAAUUAUUGGGCGUAAAGCGUCUGUAGGUUGCCUAACAAGUCUGUUGUUAAAGGUUAAAGCUUAACUUUAAAACUGCAGCAGAAACUGCUAGGCUUGAGUACAGUCGAAGUAGAGGGAAUUUCCAGUGAAGCGGUGAAAUGCGUAGAUAUUGGAAGGAACACCAAUGGCGAAAGCACUCUACUAGACUUUUACUGACACUCAGAGACGAAAGCUAGGGUAGCAAAUGGGAUUAGAUACCCCAGUAGUCCUAGCCGUAAACGAUGGAUACUACAUGUUGCGUUUAUACAGUAUGGUAGCUAACGCGUUAAGUAUCCCGCCUGGGGAGUACGCUCGCAAGGGUG
rnacentral:rRNA from 1 species